rnacentral:rRNA from 1 species
CGGCGGACGGGUGAGUAACGCGUGGGAACGUACCCUUUUCUGCAGGAUAGCCACUGGAAACGGUGAGUAAUACUGCAUACGCCCUUCGGGGGAAAGAUUUAUCGGAGAAGGAUCGGCCCGCGUUAGAUUAGGUAGUUGGUGGGGUAAUGGCCUACCAAGCCUACGAUCUAUAGCUGGUUUGAGAGGAUGAUCAGCCACACUGGGACUGAGACACGACCCAGACUACUACGGGAGGCAGCAGUGGGGAAUCUUAGACAAUGGGGGCAACCCUGAUCUAGCCAUGCCGCGUGAGUGAUGAAGGCCUUAGGGUCGUAAAGCUCUUUCGCUGGGGAAGAUAAUGACGGUACCCAGUAAAGAAACCCCGGCUAACUCCGUGCCAGCAGCCGCGGUAAUACGGAGGGGGUUAGCGUUGUUCGGAAUUACUGGGCGUAAAGCGCGCGUAGGCGGAUCAGAAAGUUGGGGGUGAAAUCCCGGGGCUCAACCUCGGAACUGCCUCCAAAACUCCUGGUCUUGAGUUCGAGAGAGGUGAGUGGAACUCCGAGUGUAGAGGUGAAAUUCGUAGAUAUUCAGAAGAACACCAGUGGCGAAGGGGCUCACUGGCUCGAUACUGACGCUGAGGUGCGAAAGUGUGGGGAGCAAACAGGAUUAGAUACCCUGGUAGUCCACACCGUAAACGAUGAAUGCCAGUCGUCGGGUAGCAUGCUAUUCGGUGACACAC